GCUGACAUUUCCUCCAUUAAGGGGUAUUGCAACCAGCCCACAAAGGAUGAAGUCACCUUUAUGAGGGUAUUGUUGUGUCUGCAGCAGCUUAGAUCAAUCUGGGGAAGAUUCGUGCCACUGUUCUUGUGAGCAGUGUAAGGAAAAGGCUCUGCCCCAGAGGGCGGUGGGCAUGGAACAGGCUGCCCAGGCCAGUGGGCAUGGCCCUGAGUACCGGAGUUCAGGGAGCAUUUGGGCACCACUCUCAGACACAGGGUCUGGAUUUGGGGUGGUCCUGUGUGAAGCCAGGGAUUGGACUCUGCAAUCCUUGUGGAUCUCUUCCAACUUGAUUCUGUGGCUCAUGUCUUGGAUGGAUUCAUUUAACCUAUGUCCAGGUUGUAACGGAAAUGUUCAGAGCUGGUCUCUGGGGUCUGUCAGGGAGGAGAAGCCAUCCUCUCUGGAUGCUGGACCUAAAUUUACCUGCUCUAAAAGGGAUGCCCAAGUAGGAUGGACUCCUGCUGGGGGGGCUUUCUUCUUCCACCAAACUUGUUAGGCCGUGGCUGAGCCCUUCUGCAAAUGUGGCCUGAGCAGAUGACCGUGCAGCCAAUGGAGACUGCCUUAAAAUAGUGACUUCAGCCAUGCUGGCUCUGCUCCAGGUGUUACAGAUGAGGUGCCAUGUCAUUCAUUUUCUGUUACUGCUCCAGGUGAGAUAUAUAAGGCAGUAAAACCUUAUGUAUGAAGGACUUUGGAACUGGUCCUGCUUUGAGCAGCAGGUUGGAGUGGGGACUGCUGUGAAGCCUCUUCCAGGUUGAAUUUUCUGUGAGUCCGCAGACAAGAAAAUAUUAAAUUCAAAGGUCCCUUUAACAUUUGCAUCAACAAGGACAAUCAUCAGGAAAUGCCAAAUGAACUCCACUGGAUUUUUCCUCUAAAGAAGCGAACAGAAUUAUUCCAACAGCGUCGAGUCGAAACACCCACUUUUUGGUUUUCAUUCUACUCAUCUAUAGAGAAAUUACACUCUGGCCAAUGAGUAGUAUUGAGAAAUUAAUUUUGUUUAAAUUCAACAAAGGCCCCGGCGUCCCCUGUGACAAAGUGUUUUGAAGGUAUAAAGCAUUCUUUCUGCCAUGAGGAUAACGAAUUUGCAAAUAUUUGUAAAUAAAUGAAUGAAAAUGCAAACUCCCAUAAGACCCUGAUUGUUUCGUUCUAAGCAGCCAACUCCAAGCGCCCCUAAUUUGUGGAAAUUAAUUAUAAAACACAACCAUAUGUCCCUGUAAUUACAGGAAAAUAGAUGGAAGCCGAGGAGCUGGGCUGCACCCAUAUAUGAAUAAAUCUCCUUAUCAAAGUUACCAACCCUAGGCUGUUCUGUAGGGAACUCAAUCCAGUCACAUCCUCACGGGCUCCCUGGGUGGGAUCCAGCCAUACUGUUAAGCAUCAGCC
ensembl:lncRNA